AAUUGACGGGGCCCGCACAAGCGGUGGAGCACGUGGUUUAAUUCGAUGAUACGCGAAGAACCUUACCAGGUCUUGACAUCCCCCGCGAUGCUUUAGAGAUAAAGCGGAGGUAUUCGGGGAGACAGGUGGUGCAUGGUUGUCGUCAGCUCGUGUCGUGAGAUGUUGGGUUAAGUCCCGCAACGAGCGCAACCCCUAUUGCUAGUUACCAUCAUUAAGUUGGGGACUCUAGCGAGACUGCCAGUGAUAAACUGGAGGAAGGUGGGGAUGACGUCAAAUCAUCAUGCCCCUUAUGACCUGGGCUACAAACGUGAUACAAUGGCUGGAACAAAGGGAUGCGAAGCAGUGAUGUGGAGCGAAACCCAUAAAAACAGUCUCAGUUCGGAUUGAAGUCUGCAACUCGACUUCAUGAAGUCGGAAUCGCUAGUAAUCGCGGAUCAGAACGCCGCGGUGAAUACGUUCUCGGGGUUU
rnacentral:rRNA from 1 species